rnacentral:snRNA from 1 species
GAGUCUUCAGCAGCACAUAUACUAAAAUUGGAACGAUACAGAGAUUAGCAUGGCCCCUGCACAAGGAUGACACGCAAAUUCAUGAAGCGUUCCAUAUGUUU